UGGCAGGCUCAGGGUUUGUAUUGCGAAAGGAAACUCAACCCAAAUUUGAAGAGAAACAGCUAGAUAUUUUUAGUGGUUCCAGUAUCUGGAGUCAUAAUCAUUUGGAGUGGCAGACCACUGGUGGGGAUGCUAGUGUGAUGAAGUAACCAACUGCUUUCUGCUUGGAUCUGAGGCCCACGCCCACUGAAGGAAACACAUGCCUGACUCUGCAACCCUGGUGAAGAGCCCAGGGGUAGUGAGGUCAUAUGCCUUAGGCUUGGAUACUCUUUCUCUGGCUGCCUCAGAACCAUGACAAGAGAAGAAAAUCUGCAGAGAGCAAAGCAAAAAGCAACAUAUUUGUGGCUCAAGCUGGAUGAGUGGAAGGGAAGAGAACCACUCUGUGGAUCAAAUGGGAUACUGCAAAUGAAUUAACAUAUCGAUGUGCACCGUGUACAAGAAGUUGAAGACGGAAAAAGUUCGAGCCACCCGAUCCCCUUGGCACGUGCACAGAAGAAGUAUCAACAAUUGCCAGUUAGAGCCUGGGUCCCGUGGAGAUGGCAGGGAUAGAGCCAACAGUUGUCACUGCAGCCUCCCUUUAAGACACGAUGUGGGGGACGAUCUACCUUCCUGUGGGUUUCCAAACGAAAGCUGGCUGAUGCCAUCAACUGUGACAGGAAAGCAGACCUACCAGGCCUUCAAGAGCAGCUCUGGCCAAUCUGGACUGCUAUGGAGAGGAACUGGACAUCCUGAUCAGAUGCUGAAACUCCCAAUCUGCACCCACUUUGGGCUCUCUUAUGCAUCCAUAUGGCGUUUCCCCUGCUUUUUCCUGUUUUGCUCGAUAAGGAUUAUGUGUUUAGACCACAAUGGGGUUCCUCCUACCCAUGAACAGGAGGACCAAUCAGGAGUCCAAGGAAUAUCUGCAAGCAAGACUCUUAGCCACGAGAUUUCUGAUGCAAAGGAAAGUCGUCAGUACUUUUGAUAAGUAUUACUAAACCUGUUCUUUGAGGUCAUUGAGGCUGAAUCCAUUUCAACUUCCAACUGCAAUGGAUGAGAGUGUCUAUUUCUCAAAAGUCUUGUAAGCAAAACAUGCUAUUUAAGUACCCCACCCCCAAACUCCUAAACAAAAAUGCUGCCUCAGCAUUUCACACUCUUCCGUUUAUUCAGGGCCACUUCUGGCUCUCUCUUUCUCUGUGACUUUCUGACCCAUGCCUGUAUAUAAUUACUAUUAAUUUUACUCUUCAGUAUAGUACCUAGAUGCUGCCUGUGGGUUAGGGAGAACCUUCAUCUGUGAUAUUAACUGCCAAUUCAUUUGACUUCACUUAUGGUGUGCAACCAUGGUUAACGUGAUGGUUAGCAUUGCCAGCUUGCCAGGAUCUAGGCUCUGCGCACGUCUGGGAGGAAGUUUACAGACUGAGUUCAUCUCGUGGUGAUAUUUUGUUUGUGCUCUAACAAAUAAAGCCUGACUGGAGCUAGCCACCAGUUAACCAUAGAGGCCAGGCAGUCGUGGCUCAUGCCUUUAAUCCCAGCACCUGGGAGGAGAAACCAGGACAGGAUCUGGCUGGGCAGAGAGAGGAACUUAGCCCCCUUUCAGGCUGAGGAUCUGGCCAGGUAAGAAGCAGCGGUGGCUUGCUCUUUUGUCUCUCUGAUCUUUCAGCAUUUACCCCUAGAUCUGACUCUGGAUUUUGAUUAUUAAGAGCAAUUAGAAUUCACACUACAAGCUGCUCCCAUGCCUUCCUCACAGGAUGAACUAUACCCUCUCAUGACGGACUAACCUCAGAACAGACCCUACCCUCACACGAUUGACUAUGCCUGCACACUGUGAUCCCAGCAAGUCUAUCUUUCCUGAGAGUUGCUUUUGUUAAAUAUUUUUUGUUUUGUUUUAUUUUCUUCAGGACAGGAUUUUCCUGUGUAGUCCUGGCUGUCCUGGAACUCUCGCUGAAGAUCAGACUGGCCGCGAACUCAGAGAUCCACCUGCCUCUGCCUCCUGAGUGACAAGAUAAAGGUGCUCCUCACCACUGUCCAGCUUAAGCAUAUUUUGUGGUUGCUUUCCUUUUUGUCUUUUUCAGAACCGAGGACUACAGUGAGGCCUUUGCACUUGCUAGGGAAGCACACUCCACCGCUGAGCUAAAUUCCCAACCCCCUUUUAUCAGUCACACAAUGACCAUGUACCUAAGAAGAGUGAGGAGCCAUGGGAGGAAACUCUGAACUACCAAGGAGAAUUCAGCCACCUGAGGAGAGAGGAGGUGGACAGAAACAUGGCAAACCAGGAAGAGGACUCACAUCCUGUUUAGCCUUUCUCUACGAGUAACCUCAACCAAUCCAGAAACCCGUCAAAGUUGCCCUCUGCCUUAUACUGAAGUGGUGUUACAGCGUGUAAGGUGCCUGGUUUCUGUUCAGACAUGUAGACCUGAUUGUGAGUUCCUGCCCCAUGUUCCCUCAGACUUCCGGGAUAUCUCAUCUUUCACAUGUGAAUAAACGGAAUUUUGACCGAC